UAGUGUGGUUGCACUACAGACAUUAGUCGUGAUGUGCUUAGUCUAGAAUUUUGAUGUGAAGAACUCCAGAGGACAGUCCACUAUUUGAAGAGCUGCCCAGUCCAAGCCUGGUUGAAAGACAGAGAGCCAUCAGCAGGGAGAACUGUAUGGGCCUUGAAGUUGCCCAUCAAAAGCUGGCUAAGCAGGCACACGAGUCAUCCAGCCACCAUCUUCCCCACAGUGGAAGGUGUGACCCCUGGCAAGUCAUGAAGAAAACUGCAGG